CAGUCGACGGCAGCACGGACUUCGGUCUGGUGGCGAGUGGCGAACGGGUGAGUAAUAUAUCGGAACGUGCCCAGUCGUGGGGGAUAACGUAGUGAAAAUUACGCUAAUACCGCAUACGAUCUAAGGAUGAAAGCGGGGGAUCGCAAGACCUCGCGCGAUUGGAGCGGCCGAUAUCAGAUUAGGUAGUUGGUGAGGUAAAGGCUCACCAAGCCAACGAUCUGUAGCUGGUCUGAGAGGACGACCAGCCACACUGGAACUGAGACACGGUCCAGACUCCUACGGGAGGCAGCAGUGGGGAAUUUUGGACAAUGGACGCAAGUCUGAUCCAGCCAUUCCGCGUGCAGGACGAAGGCCUUCGGGUUGUAAACUGCUUUUGUACAGAACGAAAAGGUCUCUAUUAAUACUGGGGGCUCAUGACGGUACUGUAAGAAUAAGCACCGGCUAACUACGUGCCAGCAGCCGCGGUAAUACGUAGGGUGCAAGCGUUAAUCGGAAUUACUGGGCGUAAAGCGUGCGCAGGCGGUUAUAUAAGACAGAUGUGAAAUCCCCGGGCUCAACCUGGGAACUGCAUUUGUGACUGUAUAGCUGGAGUGCGGCAGAGGGGGAUGGAAUUCCGCGUGUAGCAGUGAAAUGCGUAGAUAUGCGGAGGAACACCGAUGGCGAAGGCAAUCCCCUGGGCCUGCACUGACGCUCAUGCACGAAAGCGUGGGGAGCAACAGGAUUAGAUACCCUGGUAGUCACGCCCUAACGAUGUCAACUGGUUGUUGGGUCU
rnacentral:rRNA from 1 species